CUGUCCACCUCACAGCGGCUGCUCAGGAUGAAACAGGCUUCAGCAUUGUCCAUCCUGGAAGAGAGGAGACAGACCUGUCACAGCCCAAGCAGUGGCAGAAGUCUGAGAAGGUAAUACUGCUCAUGAAGCUUCUCACAGAUGAGAUUCUUGGAAAUAACUCCCCUCAGAGAGCAUCUCUUAGAAGUGGUGGAAGUAUGUGGUAAGAAGAGGGCCCUGAAAAGUUCAGGUAUGUAUAGCAGAACAGCUGCUUAAUGUUACCAGGCUUGACUUCAAAAAACAAAGCUGUACAUUGGGUUCAAAAUUUUAGAUAUUAAGAAAAACAAGUUCUAUCAAAGAGCUUUGCUUCGCCUUCUAAAUAAACAUGGCUUUCUUUCUAGUACAGCUUUUGUUGCUUGUUAAACUUAUUUAUCAAACAAGUAUGAAUGAAAAAGUAAAAAAGAAUGGUCAAUA